AGAUUUGCCAGUUUAUAUACUAAAACCGGAAAGAUGUAGAGAAGACUAUCAUGGUCUCUGGAUAAAGAUGGCAAGAAAAUUCGUGCAGCAUCCAACAUUUUU
ensembl:snRNA U6 U6 spliceosomal RNA